rnacentral:rRNA from 1 species
UGGUGAUUAGUGGCGAACGGGUGAGUAACACGUGAGUAACCUGCCCUUAACUCUGGGAUAAGCCUGGGAAACUGGGUCUAAUACCGGAUAUGACUCCUCAUCGCAUGGUGGGGGGUGGAAAGCUUUUUUGUGGUUUUGGAUGGACUCGCGGCCUAUCAGCUUGUUGGUGAGGUAAUGGCUCACCAAGGCGACGACGGGUAGCCGGCCUGAGAGGGUGACCGGCCACACUGGGACUGAGACACGGCCCAGACUCCUACGGGAGGCAGCAGUGGGGAAUAUUGCACAAUGGGCGAAAGCCUGAUGCAGCGACGCCGCGUGAGGGAUGACGGCCUUCGGGUUGUAAACCUCUUUCAGUAGGGAAGAAGCGAAAGUGACGGUACCUGCAGAAGAAGCGCCGGCUAACUACGUGCCAGCAGCCGCGGUAAUACGUAGGGCGCAAGCGUUAUCCGGAAUUAUUGGGCGUAAAGAGCUCGUAGGCGGUUUGUCGCGUCUGCCGUGAAAGUCCGGGGCUCAACUCCGGAUCUGCGGUGGGUACGGGCAGACUAGAGUGAUGUAGGGGAGACUGGAAUUCCUGGUGUAGCGGUGAAAUGCGCAGAUAUCAGGAGGAACACCGAUGGCGAAGGCAGGUCUCUGGGCAUUAACUGACGCUGAGGAGCGAAAGCAUGGGGAGCGAACAGGAUUAGAUACCCUGGUAGUCCAUGCCGUAAACGUUGGGCACUAGGUGUGGGGGACAUUCCACGUUUUCCGCGCCGUAGCUAACGCAUUAAGUGCCCCGCCUGG